AGCGAUUAAACUAAAGAGUUUGAUCCUGGCUCAGAUUGAACGCUGGCGGCAUGCUUUACACAUGCAAGUCGAACGGUAACA
rnacentral:rRNA from 1 species